rnacentral:lncRNA from 1 species
UUCAAGACUCGAUUCCAGCUCAGGCCCAUCGCAUCGCAUUGAUUUGCCUCAAACAGAAAACAAAAAACUUAACCGGAGUUGAGCGUCGAAACAGCGAGCGAACAUAUGGCGACGACAACGGCGACGGGGGUGUUGCCUCGGGCGCUGCUGCUGCCGACCAUCAGGCGCCGACUCGCCACCAGCACCGGGCAGCCCGUCGUGUCCUUCACCGGCGCCCGUCCCAGCACCACCCUGGUAGUGGUUGGCAUGCCUCCCUCAUCGCAUACACUUCAGACAUCAACUAUAUACACAUAAUUAAUCUACGUUCCUUUCUUACUGAAUCUGUGGGGAUUUCAAAAUUUUCGCAGGCUCAUCAGGCGGAGGUUGCUGCGCGUCGACAACUCAGAUGGUAGGCCUUCCUUCUUGCUUGCGCUGUCAUCUGCCAAUACGAGCUCCUAGGAACUCUUUUGAUCCAUGGCUAACAGUUGAAGGCUAUUUUUCCUUCCCUUGUGCAGGCACAAGAUGCAGCAAGACGAGGUCAUUGCGUGGGCGAUCAUUGCGUUGCCCUUUACGCUAUUUUACUGCCGGGAUCUCUUCCGAAGGGUGCGUAAACCUCAAGCAGAUUGCUGCCAUCCAAGUGGCUCCACCAGCAGCCCGGCAAGCUAGCUAGCUAGGUGGGGAUGACCUGGGGCUCCAACAGGUCAAUGUAUAGAUAAUGCAUGUAAUCAAGAUUAUGCAAUUUGUCGAGCACGGCUGUAGUCUGCGUCCGGAGAAAUACACUAUUUUUCAUAUGUGUAUGUACUGCCCUUUUUGUCUGGAAUGUGUUAAUGUGCUUUAUAGCGUGUUAAAUGACCAACUAUAAGUACUUUGUGUGUUGCCAUGGAAUUUGCUAAUAUGUUUAUGUUUAACUUUAA